rnacentral:misc_RNA from 1 species
UCAAUCCUCAAGCCUAGCUUGCUGUUGGGUCCCACCGUCGGCGACGAUGGUGGACCUUAAAGACAAUGGCGGAGUCCGUGGACCCUGGAUGCAGCGAGCUCUUCAGCACGCGUCUCGGUAGUCCCCGGGCCCUGUCUUAACCAAUUUAUUUACUA